GCAAGGAAUUUUCCGCAAUGGGCGAAAGCCUGACGGAGCAACGCCGCGUGUGGGAGGACGCCUUUCGGGGUGUAAACCACUUUUCUUGGGGACGAAGGAAGUGACGGUACCCGAGGAAGAAGGCCCGGCAAACUACGUGCCAGCAGCCGCGGUAAUACGUAGGGGCCGAGCGUUGUCCGGAGUUAUUGGGCGUAAAGCGCGCGCAGGCGGCGCGUUAAGCCUGGCGUGAAAGCCUCCGGCUCAACCGGGGAAGGUCGUCGGGGACUGGCGUGCUUGAGGACGGCAGGGGUAGGUGGAAUUCCCGGUGUAGUGGUGAAAUGCGUAGAGAUCGGGAGGAACACCCGUGGCGAAGGCGGCCUACUGGGCCGGACCUGACGCUGAGGCGCGAAGGCGUGGGGAGCGAACGGGAUUAGAUACCCGAGUAGUCC
rnacentral:rRNA from 1 species